UUGGAUUUUGAUACAAGUUGCAUUAUCAAGUAUUUGAUGUGACUUCACUUUAAAUCCAUACAUUAAAGUCGGGCCUUCUGAAGACUUUCUUAUGUUUAGCUUUGUAAGAUAGACAGAUACGAGGCCCACAUUC
rnacentral:snoRNA from 1 species